rnacentral:rRNA from 1 species
UACGUAGGGAGCGAGCGUUGUCCGGAUUCAUUGGGCGUAAAGCGUGCGCAGGCGGUUUUGUAAGGCUGGCGUGAAAUCCCCGGGCUCAACCUGGGAAUUGCGAUGGAGACUGCAAGGCUAGAAUCUGGCAGAGGGGGGUAGAAUUCCACGUGUAGCAGUGAAAUGCGUAGAGAUGUGGAGGAACACCGAUGGCGAAGGCAGCCCCCUGGGUCAAGAUUGUCGCUCAUGCACGAAAGCGUGGGGAGCAAACAGG